rnacentral:tRNA from 1 species
UCGCCCAUGGACAGGCCGGUGCGCGGCUCGGCGUUGCGGGGGAUGUCGGGGACGAUGUGGCCGGGGCGGAUCUUGGCCAGCAGGGCGAGCC